UACGGAGGGGGCUAGCGUUGUUCGGAAUUACUGGGCGUAAAGGGCGCGUAGGCGGCGCGAUAAGUUGGGCGUGAAAGGCCCGGGCUCAACCCGGGGACUGCGCUUGAUACUGUCGCGCUGUGAGUCCGGGAGAGGAUGGCGGAAUUCCCAGUGUAGAGGUGAAAUUCGUAGAUAUUGGGAAGAACACCGGUGGCGAAGGCGGCCAUCUGGACCGGCACUGACGCUGAGGCGCGAAAGCUUGGGGAGCAAACAGG
rnacentral:rRNA from 1 species